CCGGUUGAUCCUGCCAGACCUGACUGCUAUCGGAUUGAUACUAAGCCAUGCGAGUCAUUGUAGCAAUACAAGGCAUACGGCUCAGUAACGCGUAGUCAACCUAACCUAUGGACGGGAAUAACCUCGGGAAACUGAGAAUAAUUCCCGAUAGAACAUUAUACCUGGAAUGGUUUAUGUUUCAAAUGAUUUAUCGCCGUAGGAUGGGACUGCGGCCUAUCAGUUUGUUGGUGAGGUAAUGGCCCACCAAGACUAUUACAGGUACGGGCUCUGAGAGGAGUAGCCCGGAGAUGGGUACUGAGACACGGACCCAGGCCCUAUGGGGCGCAGCAGGCGAGAAAACUUUGCAAUGUGCGAAAGCACGACAAGGUUAAUCCGAGUGAUUUGUGCUAAACGAAUCUUUUGUUAGUCCUAGAAACACUAACGAAUAAGGGGUGGGCAAGUUCUGGUGUCAGCCGCCGCGGUAAAACCAGCACCUCAAGUGGUCAGGAUGAUUAUUGGGCCUAAAGCAUCCGUAGCCGGCUCUGUAAGUUUUCGGUUAAAUCUGUACGCUCAACGUACAGGCUGCCGGGAAUACUGCAAAGCUAGGGAGUGGGAGAAGUAGACGGUACUCGGUAGGAAGUGGUAAAAUGCUUUGAUCUAUCGAUGACCACCUGUGGCGAAGGCGGUCUACUAGAACACGUCCGACGGUGAGGGAUGAAAGCUGGGGGAGCAAACCGGAUUAGAUACCCGGGUAGUCCCAGCUGUAAACUAUGCAAACUCAGUGAUGCAUUGGCUUGUGGCCAAUGCAGUGCUGCAGGGAAGCCGUUAAGUUUGCCGCCUGGGAAGUACGUACGCAAGUAUGAAACUUAAAGGAAUUGGCGGGGGAGCACCACAAGGGGUGAAGCCUGCGGUUCAAUUGGAUUCAACGCCGGG
rnacentral:rRNA from 1 species